GAGAACAUUUCACUUGGGCUUACA
rnacentral:siRNA from 1 species